GACGAACCGUGCAAACGUUGUUCGGAAUCACUGGGCUUAAAGGGCGCGUAGGCGGGCAAGCAAGUCCGGGGUGAAAUCUUUCGGCCUAACCGGAAAAGGGCCUUGGAUACUGCUUGUCUGGAGGGAGGUAGGGGCAGACGGAACUUCCGGUGGAGCGGUGAAAUGCGUUGAUAUCGGAAGGAACGCCGGUGGCGAAAGCGGUCUGCUGGACCUCUACUGACGCUGAGGCGCGAAAGCCAGGGGAGCGAACGGG
rnacentral:rRNA from 1 species